CCUUCUCUGUGGCGGCAGCAUCCAUGGCUGGGGCAACCUCCGCGCCUCCUCCGCCCUGCGUGACCCUCUCCAAGAGUCCACAGCUCCCCGGCUGGUACCCAAGCCCCUCCACCCCGCGGGCGCCGGACCUCGAGGCGGCCCCGUGGUCCCCAACCUUCUUGCUGCUGCUGCGGGUGAGGGACACGCCUGAAAACUGCAGCACCGCGAGGUAGAGGUCACCCGAGACCCCGAGGCGCUUCCCGCACGCGUGCGCAGAGGCUCAGCCCAGACACUCCUUCAAACCCACAAUUUCUACAGAGUCCAAGAAGGAGCUGAUCUCUUUGCGAGAGGGCCCGAAUGAGCCGGGUUCCCGCGGCGGAGCGCAGCCCGCAGCUGUUGAGUGAGACCCUCCCAGAAGUGUCAGCAAGCUGUCAUCGCCUCCCUUCCCGCUGGGGGUGGAAGGGGGGCUUUCAGCCCAAUUCCUGCGCACAAAGAGAGACAGAGAACAAAAGCCCAGCCGCCCCCAAACACCCCUUGUGCCCGACUGCAGCUCUGGGCAGAGGUCCCCAGACGCGGCGGCCGGAGCCAGGGUUGGGAGGGGUCGGACAGGGGGCAGAGGGGCGGAAGGUCGGCCCACAUGCCCGCUUGCGGGGCUCCAGCGCCUGACCCCGAGUUACUAACCCAGCUCCCACAGAUGCAGAAGCGUCCAGGGCGAGUGAUGCCCGGGGUCACACAGCAAGUUAAAGACAAGACUCAGGCCGGAAUCCCGCUUCCGGCUCCCAGCCCUGGGCAAGGGGCCCGCGUCCAGGCAGAAAGGGCUGUGCCUAGUGUCAGCACCCGGACCUGGGGGUGGCGGCUCGGGUGGGACCGAGCCGCGCGGGAAGGACCCAAGCGACGGCCGCACACACGCUGCUGGUGUGGACGCGCGCCGAGCGGCUAGAGCCCCGCCCGGGCGCCGAGCGCAGCGCUCCCGGGGAUGAGCUCCUCGCCCGACACCUUGAGCCCCACCAGCUCCCGCACCUAACGGUUUAUUUCUCAGCUCCCGUUUCACCGCCAAAUUUCCGCGGAGGGCCCGGCGUGGAAACGCGUGUUCAAGAUUACGUGGAUAAAAGGACCCUUUCCUCCAGGGUUUCUUUUUUGGGAAGGGGCUUAGGAUAAGGCGAGGGUGGAACUCAUCCUUCCGAAAGCCUGGAUGCCCUUGAGGACUCAGCACUUUGGGCUCAAGGCCUGCCUUCAUUUCAUACCAUUUGCCGGUACUGUCCCGCAUCCCCGCCUCUACCGAGCGGGCAUUCUCGUUAACUGUUCCACGGCCCCUCCCCAACUUGGAAGUAUGAUACUGCGCAUUUUAAUUUUCACAAGGAGCUGGUUUUGUGUCGGAAGGAUGUGUUGAUGACAGCCAAGUCUUUCCCUGAAGUUUUCAGUUUAUCUGCCAACCCUUAUCACCCUUAUUCUGCUUAGCUCUCAGAGAAGAGGCUGGUGAAGGGCUUUCAAAGAGAAAGACAAAUCGCUCUCAGUUGGGUCCUCCAGCAUCCAAGCGUUUCUUUUUGUCUGUGUAUUACACACAAUUCCUCUCCAUCUCGGUCGUUGUACAUCAGACAUGAAGGCGUCAGAACAGUAUAUUUCAUCAUCACUUACAUGCUAUUAACUUUAAUGAUGCACUAACAUUUCUAAAUUUUCGCUUCCUGAGACCAUUGUAGAAAUUACACAUGUAAAAUAAAAUUCAACCUUUAUUUUAUGAAUAGCAUUGUGUGGCUGAGGUGAGUAAGAUACCCGCUAAGCUAUUAAAAUCCUAUUUGCUCUCACACUUUUCAGAGUAUUUUCAGGGGCACAUUCUCAAGUGAUUUUGCAUUUAUCUCUUACGUGGCCACAGAGUUGUGUUAAUUAAUUGAAGUCUGAUAGAAAGGGGACAUUACAUAGCUGAUUUGGUAGUAAAUUUUUAAAGCGUCGUUUUCUUAAAGCAAGAUAUAUGUUUUUACACACACUGAGAUUGCAAGACUCGUAGCUUUCGGAUUUUCCCACUGCCUGCUUGCAUUCACCACUUAAUAAACAGCUCACAGGCCCGGUAGCCUGCCAGCCGACUCUGCCGCCGAGAUGCACGCGGUUUCCUAGGCAACCGACACUUAGCCAAUGAAUGAAGAGGAAUCGAAAGAAAGAGACUGCAAAUCCAUCAUUAUUUCCUUUUUUACCCGUCCCAGUGCUCUCCAGCUAGAAAUAUUGGAAAGCUACCAACCCUAACAUUUAUGCAAAGGAGUCAAAUGCCCGGAGAACUGGGCCUAGGAAGGGGUCCAGCCCUGUCUUGUGACUGCGGGGAGGGGGUAGUGGAAAGGGUUCAGGGGACUCGCCGAGACGUGUGCUUUCUCAGCUUUGUCACUCCCCCUGUUGAUGUCCCACUGUCCCCCGUUUCCUCCCAGGCCUUCCCUCCCCCCGUGAGAAGCCAGCAGCUCCCGGCAGAGCUGCCCCGGGGGCUCUUUAAUCAAAGGGCUGCCUGGGUGGGAGCCUCAAGCCCUCGUCCUUCCGCAGUCGUGGGGCUCUGUGGGGACCCAGGUAACAAAAGACGAAGAUGAGCAGAGAAAAUUCCGAGGCCGUGAAUGCAGGGUGUGCGGCGACAUUCACUUUUGUUUCGCCAUGAGGCUGGCUGUUUUCCCACGGCCGGUGACGGAAUCUGGGUUAAAAUGGCCUCAGUCCAGACUGAGAGCGCUGAGCUUUCACCGAAGAGCUUUACCGUCUUUGUCCUGCAGAUCGACAGAGGGAGCCGGACCCGGCUUUCCCGGGCACAGCUUCCCUUUUAUAAGCGGCCCCCUGCCCCCUACGCCAUCAGGGGUUUGUAAGAUUCUUGGGCUGGGGGAGGGCAGGCCAGAGGAUGCGGGCUCUGUGAAUCCUGGGUGGACGGGCAUCUCGUGACACAGAGUCAGACUGGGCGGAAAAUAGAAGCAGAGUAGAAACCACCCUUGAAUGGGACCGUUAUAGCGUACUAAGAUUGACAGGUGCAGCCCGUGACAUCAACAAACGUAGAAAUAAAGUCCUUAUGAAAUGAACGCUACACACAGAAGGUAGGAGGGGAGCCAUUUUAAGUUUCAGCACAGAUCGCUGUAGUAGUGAUGUGACUGCGGGGCUGCCACCCCCCGACCCCCCAGUAGAAACCAGUCCCCCAGCCACUGGUGCUCAUGGAGAUCCAGGCAGCUCACCAUUUGCCCCAGACCUUUGCUUGCCACUUAAAUAGAAUUAAAACGUGUAUUCAGAUAGAUAGAUGCACACAAAUACAUAGAGUAACACCCUUGGCCUCUUGGAUUUAGAUGUCUGGUCACCAUUAACGAUGUCUUCACUGCAGAAACAGGUCACCUUCUGAGCAGGAACUCUUGGCUUGACGUGUUCAGCCUCCUUUUUAGUGGCCACCACAUAUUCAUGGUACAUUUUCAAGAAAAUAAUGCAUUAGGAGUACCUCUGGGAGGACUCUCUACCUCUUUCAAAAUAACCACUAGAGAGGAAACGUAUCAAAAGAUUUGGUUUCUCACAUAUCUCCGGAAGAACUGAAAGCAGAAUUUCGAAGAGAUAUUUGUACACCCCUGUCCACAGCAGCGUUAUUCACAAUAGCCCAUGGUGGAAGUAACCCUAAGUGUUCAGCAAUAGAUGAAUGUACAAAAAAACCAAAUGUGGUCUACACAUACAUGGAAUACUCUUCAGCCUUAAAAAGGAAGGAAAUUCUGACACCUGGUACGACAUGGAUGAACCCUGAAGAUAUUAUGCUCAGUGAAAUAAGCUAGUUAUGAAAAGACAAAUACUGUAUAAUUUCAUGUAUACAAGGUACCUAGAGUAGUCAGAUUCAUAGAGACAGAGGGUAAGAGGGUGGGUGCCAGUGGGGAGGCGAAUGGGGAGUAAGUGUUUAAUGGGGACAGAGUUUCAGUUUUGCAAGACGAAAAGUGUUCCGGAGAGGAUGGCGGUGAUGGUUACAGAACAAUGUGAAUGGACUUAAUGCCACUGAACUGUGUGUGUAAAAAUGGUCGAGAUUUUAUGUUUAUGUGCGUUUUACCACAAUUAAAAAAGAAUUAGUUCCUCACUGUCUAUGAAAUACCUAGUGGCACCUUUUUUGUCUUGAUGCUAAUAUGGUGCCCCAAGUUUCUCAGUGAUUGAUAGACAGAUACAUAGAUAGAUACAUAGAUGAUAGAUACAUAGACACUAGGUAGAUAUUUUAAAAACCAGUAUCAAUUUCAUCAUUCAUUCCUCCUCCUUUUGCCCCGAAAGUGGUGUCAGAGGCAUCUCAGUACUGUUGGCUCCGGGCUCUCCUUGUUCAUUCGUCUCCACGGACUCCCCGUGGUCCACAGUCUUAGCGCAGAGUUCAGGCUGCUCCAGCCCGGGUGAUCUGCCAUCCCAGGGUCACCUGCACCCUCUGCCUCUACAGUACAUCCCAGGAGACUUGGACCUGCCCGCCCAUCUCCUUUCAGGACGUGUUCUCCCCGCCUCUGAGUCUCUGCUCAUGCUGUGCCAUCGACCUGGAGUUACCCUCUCCUCUCUUCACCCGGUGACAUUUCGAUUGUUCUUCAUGCUGCAGCUCAACUAUCUGUGAUUCGUCCCCCUGUUGCCAGGAACAACGAACUGAUGAUGCUCUGCUCCGCCAGAGGCUUCUUCACGUGGUUAAUGCCAGUUUUGCAUUUGUUACAUUAAAGCAGUGAUCACUGGGCUUUUUCAUUGCACACCUCCACCCGUUAAAAAAAGAGUUGAGAAUGCAUAU